rnacentral:miRNA from 1 species
UUGGAUAAAGAACAAGGAGAUA